rnacentral:snoRNA from 2 species
GAGCAUAUGAUGAGAAAAAAUUUGGAAUUGACGACUGAUUGGCGAAAGCCAUGAAGCUUCCAAAAUUCGAGCUUUUUAAAACUGAUGCUCA